rnacentral:rRNA from 1 species
AACGAACGCUGGAGGCAUGCCUUAUACAUGCAAGUCGAACGCGAAAGUACCUUCGGGUAUCAGUACAGUGGCAAACGGGAGAGUAACGCGUGGGAAUAUACCUUAUAGUACGGAAUAGCCUCGGGAAACUGGGAUUAAUACCGUAUACGCCCUUCGGGGGAAAGAUUUAUCGCUAUAAGAUUCGCCCGCGUCAGAUUAGCUAGUUGGUGGGGUAACGGCCUACCAAGGCAACGACCUGUAGCUGGUCUGAGAGGAUGACCAGCCACAUUGGGACUGAGAUACGGCCCAAACUCCUACGGGAGGCAGCAGUAGGGAAUAUUGGACAAUGGGGGAAACCCUGAUCCAGCAAUGCCUCGUGAGUGAUGAAGGCCUUAGGGUUGUAAAGCUCUUUUAGUGGGGAAGAUAAUGGCGGUACCCACAGAAAAAGCACCGGCUAACUCCGUGCCAGCAGCCGCCGUAA